GGUAUAGCCCUUGUCAAAAAAUAACCCACUUUCAUACCAAAACACACUUAAACCAACAUAAAACUGUGUUUUUUCUGAGUUUUUCUUAGCGGAAGUUGGUUUUUGCUAAUAAAAGUGAGUUUUAUGUGCGCUAAACUGUGCUUAACUGAGUUUAAAGUUGGUUAUUUUAAGAAGAUGUGUGUUUAAGCGAGUUUUUUUCAGUAAGAAGUCGGUUUUUUGUUUGUCAAAAGUGAGCCUUUUUAUUUAUGAGUUGGUUUAUGUGUGUUUAAGUGUGUCUUUUUGUUUUAUAAGCGAGUCUUUUACAACAGAAGUUGGUCUUUUUUUAAACAGAAGUGGGUUUAAGCGAGUUUAACUUGGUCUUUUUGUAAAUAAGUUGAGAGCUGCAACGAGGCUUAAAGACUCACUUUAACACACUUUUCAACAAGUUGGUCUUUUGUUUAUUAAUAUAACUCAUCAAUGAAACAAUAAUUCUUCAACUGGGUCUUUGUUUGAUGUUUAUAGCCAUAAAUAAAACAAGUCAAUUGUAAAGGGGCUUUUUUUACAGCUUGUUUGCCAUUGUCCCUAUUGUACAUUUGUGUGCUCCCCAUAAUUUUUAGGGAAUAUUGGAUGAAAAUGGCUCUUUCAGAACAUCACAGGUUCACAGAUGGACAACAAGUAUCACUGACAAAAACUAACAAUGGUCAAGCUUAGUUUUAUACAUGAAAAUGAAAGAGUUUGUGUUUCACUUUGAAUUUUUUCUUUAUGUUUGUUUUUAUUAUAAACAAUAUCUUAUGAUUGUUUUAUGUCUUAAUUUUUUAUUUUUUUUUAAACAAUCUCAUAUGAUUGUUUAUAUUUGUUUAAAACAGUAUUUACUUGUAAAAUCUGCAUAUUUAAAUAAUUAUGGUAUUGGAAACAUUAUUUUGGAAAUAAUCUAUUUAUUUUUGUACAUAAGUUAUGCAAGAUUUUGAUAUUUGCAUAUGAUACCAUCAUAUCCAUUUUCUUAAUUUGGAAUAAAAUAAUAAAAUGCCAAACAUUACCUGUGUUACAUAAACUGUCAACAAAAUAACAAGACAAUACCUUAAAACACCCUUAUUUCACACCACUAACAAUAAACAGAUAACAAUCUGUCAGGCAUUCAGAGCUAAACAGGGUACUGAUUAUCUAGGGGUAGAUAAGGCUACUGAUGGGGUCCUAGAGAUAAGGCUGUGUGGAAUAAGAUAUAAGGCUUUUGAUUGGCUAUUGCACUGAGGAAGUUAUCUUUUUGAAAACAACAACUUUUGAAAAACAAGCUGGUGUCAGCAACUGAAUAUUGAGCUAAAUUUAAUUCAGCAACAUUAAUAUAAAGAAGUGAAAGACUUAUAAUGGUAGUGUAAAAUGUCUUGAAAUUCUGUCAGCAUGAAGUAUUGUGUGAUGAAAACAAUGUGUUUUUUACUGCAAUGUGGAAAUCAAUAAUAAGUUGGUUGGAAAGGAGGUUGAACUGCCUGUUGUUGUUUUUGGAAUACUGAAGAACAGUUUUAACAGGUUUGUAUUGUCAUUUCUUCACCCCUUUUUUUAUUUAGUUUAUUGAAUUAAUUAUGAUCAUUAUCAUAUUUAUGUAUUGUCACUGGGAAAUGUAAAUGGAUAAGUUAUUGUAUUGCAAUUUAAAGGAUAAACAACACAUUUUGAAGCAAAAAUAGAUAAACUUACACAUGAAAAAGUGUAAAUGUUGUGUACAGUGAAUAAUUAUGGUUGUGUUUCAUGGUUAUUGUCAUCUAAAAUUUUAUUUAUAUCUAUUUCUGGUUAUUACUGAACGGAUUUCUUUCCCUCUUACUUAAUUAGAACUUAUAUAUUUUAAUUUUGAAGGUUAAACUCUUGCCACAAGGCAAAAUUGACAUCGUUGGGAAGAUCCUUUGGAAAGAAUGUGCAUCAUCGCCUGCCUGAUGUAUGGACUUUUAAACCUGGUUUUUACCCUGCACAAGCUGGCAAACUUGAGGGGAACAAGAGUGGGAAAACCUCGCCCUGUCCUUGACCAAGAAAGCUCGAUUUGUUGAGAGAUCAACUGGCAUAAGAGAUGCUCAAGAGGAGAAGGACACAAGCAGCAUCAAUGGAACAACUACAUGUCGCUCCAGCGCCCGCUUUCCAGGUCUCUACCAGCUGCUUUCCAGGUCCCUCCACCCGCCAAGAUCAGGUCUAGGUCCCUGCACUGGCUGCUUUCCAGGUCCCCUAGCGGUCAAGGUCUCUCCAGUAGCUGCUGUGCAGGUCCCAACACCGUAUGCCGUCAAGGUCCCUCCUUAAGCUGAAAUCCAGGUUCCUCAUUCCACUGCGGUUCAGGUACCUCCAACAGCUGAGAUCCAGGUCUCUGCAGCAGCUGCGGUCUAAAUACUCCACCCGCAGUGGUCCAUUGCGGUCAAACUUUUGCUUUAAAAUCUUCCAUAAAUGUCUAUUAUUUUAUAAUGUAUUGUAAAAAUAAUCUGUUAGUAUUAAUUUGCGGUGUACUAUUUUUGUCAUAUAAACAUAAUUUUCGUA